CCACCUGGUACCUGUGGUGCUAAUUAGAUGAAGAACAAUAGCAAACCACCAUCCAAGAUUGUUCAGCGAUCUCAUGCCGAAUCAAGCUGUGCCAGGGAUCUUCUUCAUAAUGAUGAUAAUGAUGAUGAUGCUGCCUUCAUGGAACCCCGUGAAGGCAACCAGUUGCCAAGAAACAGUGCAUCAAUGCAAGUGUAGCAGCCAAUGCAACUGGCAAGCCUUCCAAGAAUCCAGAGUAUGCUCAUGCACUCAUAGUUCGGUGUGCCCCAUCAACAUUCAACUCGUUUGUCGAACAUCUAACGAACAUCUAACCUUACUGCAACGCAGGAGAAUCAUAGAUAUGGGUUUUGGUGGCCUCCUGUGUCUUUCAGCAGAGAGGCUAGAGAGCAGGGAACUAUUAAAGUUCUUGUUCGACAGGCUAGACCCCAAAACUAUGGUAAUCAAUGUUAACAACAAGGCAAUCCAUGUCAUCCCAUUUGCUGUCAAACAAGUGCUUGACUUACCGGACAGAGGUGAAAUUCUAAGUUUGCAUACACACACGCAAGCAUCCAAGGCGUUGUCUGCUUUCAAGUCAUUAGUGGGUCUAGAAGAAUCCCAGGACCUCCAUGUUAGUCAUCUCCAAAAGAUAGUUAAGGAUGAUCAUGAGCUGGGGACUGCCCCCAUUGAUGAUGACAUGGCUAUAAUUUUUCUUUAUCAUUACUUGCAGCAAACUGUUUUUCCCAAGCACUGAUAAUAACAUGAGAUGCAAGGAUGUUUACCUUACUAGGGACCUAUCUCGCUUGCCGGGUUUUAACUGGUGCAAGGCAGUUGUGAAUGACCUACGAGAUGCUCCAGUCACUUGGGAGGUUGACAAAGCGAAUAAAUCACUCUCAGGAUGUUCAAUAUUACUGAUUAUACUGUAUUUGGACAACCUACAAUGCAAAGAUCGGAUUGUGCACACCAACACUCCUCGCGCAAAGUAUUUUGAUCAAAAUGUGAUAAAAAAGUUAAUUAGUGCCGAUAGGACCAAAGACCAACAAGGGAAGUCUACAUUUGGGCUGUUACCGCUUAGGAACAACAUCAAUACUUGCUACUAUAUGCCUCAGCACCUAUCUUCAAAUGUCCCACCAUCCAUUGAACCGUUGGCAACACAUUUUCCCAACAUGCAAGCAGAAUUGCAUGAAUUAGUUGAUCAGAUUGGUAGCAGAUCCAGGAAGAUGCGAGCAAUGCUAGCAUUGGAAAAUUUUGAUGCCGAAGCUAAGAAAGCAUUGAGCUAUAUGAACAUUGGGCAACAGAUGCUAUAGGAUGCGCAUGAGGUAGUCAUUCACACUCUUCGGACAAUUUUGAAUAACAAGGUGCAUGGCAACAAUAUUGAAGAACAUAAUGAUCAGCCCCACGCUUCUGAUGCAGAUGAAGCCGAUGACAAUGACAUGUAUGAUGGCCACAACAGUGCGCAUAAUAUAGGAUCUGAACAUGCAUCUAAUGUGCCAAAUAUUCAAUCUGAAACAAUGGAGAGUGAUAUGUCUUCUGGUGCUCACACAAACCACGAACUUCACCAGGAUGCACGUGUUGAAUUGCAACAAAAUAGGACUCAAGAACAAGUUUUACCAACAUCCAACACAUUGCACAAUACUAUUAAUUAUAAUUAUAGCUUCACCUAUCCCAAUGUUCACACAGAUGUGACGAUUGAUCAUGUCGUGCCUCCUAUUGCGGCUAAAGGAAACACCGCCACAGCCUCUCCAAUCAGCAUUGCAGGCACCCACAAUAUUGUUGGCGAAGCACCCCCACACCUGGAUUCCCUAGUUCACCUCGCAGAUGCAUCUACUACCGGUACUAUCCACCCGCAAGCUGCAACUGCUAACAUGACUAUACCAAUAGCCAAUGUUUAUUCACAUCCUGACAAACAAGUAACAGAUAAGGAAUCGAGACCACCACAGAUGAUGCACUUGGCCCUAUUCUUUUACAGCCUUGCACACAAGUUGAGAUCAUCCAUUGUCCAGACAUUGCUUUGAGGCCACAGCGGCUUCCAAAAAAACAAGCCAUGUAUGUGUCCCAUUUUAAAGGCGAUCCACAAAGAGCAAAAGCUCCAUAGAUAAAAGAACAUGUUGACUGCCAUGAAAUGCAAAAGUGAUAUUUUCAUCCGCACCAGCUUUAGAGAAUUCAGUGGAUCAGAAAUAUCAGAGUCUUUCCUUGAUGGCGAGAUGCUUUCCACCCAAUUUAUGUCAUACUUUGUUGCCUGCAUGAGCUAUGAUGAAUGCCACAUGGCCGAUGGUGGUGGGUACAAGAUCUUCCUGUCUCAAGAGCUUGGGAAUGUGUCAAUAUAGAGGAAGAUGAAGAUUUCUCUCAGUGGGAAUCACAUCAGGCCCUAGCUGUUUUACAAUGAGAUAUUGGAGAUCUUGACCCAACUAAAGUGAAACUAUCCCUUUUGCCGGUUAGGAGGAGGAGCACUAUAGCAUAUACUGCAUCAACUUUAUACACAACCGCAUUGAUGUACUUGAUUCAAGUCCUGGGUGACCGAAUUAUUCGACAGCUUAAUCUCUUGUUCCAGUUGGCAAUAUAUUUUAAAAUAAAGCAAUUUACUAGAUUCAAGCGUCCUAUCAUUGACGUAUGUAUG